CCCUUCUACCACCUCUCCAUCUCUCCCCAAUGGCCCAAUAUGAUAAGAUCACUCUUUAUUUGUUUCUAUGAGUUACACUUGCCACUUUUGGAGAUUUGCUUACAGUUCAGAUCUUGUUAGGUCAAUAGCAGCAUCUUCUGCCUCCUCCUUUUGUAAGAUGAAGGUGUUAACAUCCCUACUGAGCUCCUAUCCCUUUCCUCUCCGUUGUCGGGCUUAAACGUCUACAUUGUCAAGGUGGAGGAUGUUUAUACUGUGUACUUUUACCUAAAGUCUUCUGGUUUGACUCAAUUUUAGGAGUGGACAGUCAUUAAACAGUGAUUGCAUUGUUGUGACUAUGUAAACGUCGUUCACUGCAGAGCCAACCAGUGUGCUGUGAGGACGCCACCCUCCUCCAGCAGGAUGCUCCACGGUAUGGCUGGUGAGUGGAGAAGGUCCGUGCCCAGGAUCUGAACCUGUGAACCUGGGCUGCCGAAGAGGAGCACAAGGAACUUUAACCACUUGACCAUGGGGCCGGCCCCCCGGCUGGGCUUUCUUAAUACUUAAAAAUAAGAUAAGAGCAAUUCUCCCCUAUGAAAGUAUGAAAUAUUUGCUGGGCAUGAGGCUUGACUGGAGCUCAGGCAGAAUAUGGACACCUUGACACAAGGUCCCCAUUGAACUUGGAGGAAAAACCAGCCCCCAUGUUGUGAGCUACCCUAUGGAGAGGCCCAUUUGGUGAGGAACUGGUGUCUCCAGCCAACAGCCCGUGAGGCAUUGAGGUCUGCCAACAGCCACGGGAGCAAGCCUGGGAAUGGCUCCUCUCCUAGUUGAGCCUGGAGACACCUACAGUUCUGGCUGCAGCCUUGGGAGAGAUUCUGAGUCAGAGGCACCAAGAAGCACCCAGCUAAGCUGUGCCCAGAUUCCUGACCAGUAGAAAUUCCCAGGGAGAAGCCAGUCCCAGAUCAUGAGGACACUCAAGAAGCCCAGUGUGGUGAUGAACUGAGGCCUCCUGCCAACAGCCAGCACCAACUUACCAGAUACGUGAAUGAGCCAGGCUGGACGCAGAUCAGUCAGCCCCAGCCAAGUCUUCAAUUGACUGCAACCCCAGCUGCCACCUUGAUUGCACUCUCUUGAGCAACCUGGAGCCAGAACUACCCAAUCAAGCUUCUUCUGAAUUCCCGACCUACAGAAAUUGAAAGCUGGAUGAAACCAGAAUGACAUCAAAGACCAUGAUGAUGGAGCCAUGAGAUGGAAUCAGACUGCUUGGAAGAGAGUACCUCACCUGUAUCCAUCUUUGAUACUCCUGAUUCUGCCAUCUUCUGCUUGCUGUAAAAGAAUCAGCCCAUCUUUCCAUCCUUAUACCAAGCCAAAGAACACAACUGUGGAGAAGGA
rnacentral:lncRNA from 1 species